rnacentral:misc_RNA from 1 species
GUAACUUUUUGUUUUGCUUUCCUUGUUUAUUUUAUUUGUCUGUUAAAGUUUGACCAGCCAUGCUUUAUAGAACCAAAUACAUAUCAGUUCAUAUGGGAAAGAAACCAAAUGCAUAUCAGUUCAUUUGCGAAAAGAAUAGUGUAUGUUUUAGAAAGUCUCUUAAAUCAAAACUUAAGAAGCAUAAUAAAUCAGAAAAUAAAUAAAAGCUCCAGAAGGUUUGAGAGGCCAAGAAAGAUGCUGAGUUGUAUAGUUGAGAUGUAUCCCCAGUAAGACAGAAUAACGUUGAACAAGAUUAUCUGUAUUACUCAAACUCAAGCCACUGUGAGGAGCUAACAAGGAUAUACAAGUGCCAAAAAGAAAAAUAAACCAAAAAUCAUAUUCAAUGAAGAUUAAUUAAUCAUGUAAAAUAAAUUGUAAGAAAAAAAAUAUUUCUAGUUGAUUCUAAAAUCAAAUUUAAAGUUAAUGUAGACAAGCAGAAUCACAUAACUGUAAAUAAGAGGCCAAAAAGAAAAAUAUAAUACAGAGACUCAGAGAUCAAGUGAACUCAAACCAGAGUAGAAAACCCACAAGCAAUCUUACAGGUAGAAUUAAAUCAACCAUUAUAUACACUAAACCAAAACCAUUUGACAGAUUAACAAGUAACCCCAAGUUUUCUUUUCCUUUUUCGCCGGGUGAAGCUCUAGACUGGAUGCAGAAUCCAAAAAAAGGGACACCUAAAGGUAAAAUUUGUUCUUCUAUUCGAGUAAAAAGAAGAAUAAUAAAACCAAAAAAAAUACCUAUAGCAAAAAUAAAAUCAGAGUGGAAAAUGAAAAAUCUUAUUCAUUACUGAAACAGAGCUCCUUUUAUAGGAGAGUUGCAUACUUUUUCCUGUUCAAACCCAUACCGUCAACUAUUACAUUACUUUUCCUAAAUUUCUUCCUAAAUACAUGGAGCAUCACAUAUUUUUUACCAAACCAGA